rnacentral:siRNA from 1 species
UGACGUUUGGGACGAAACUAAUA